CUGCUGCCACAGGAGGACAGUUGCUGGACUUCAUUGCUCAUUUGCUGUUGUUCCAGGCAUUAGCCAUUUGGCUUACAGACAUAUCUGGCCCACAUUCCUGUAGGAGGUCUGCAUUUACUGUGACGUGAGAGUCCAUCAAAAGAAAAAGAGAGAUGUGAAGGAAAGAUUCUUGGAAAUUUGAUGACUGGAAAAAUGACAGUUCUUGCCAAGGUUUUUUCUAAAAACUGGAAAAAACAACAGGACUGGGACCAGCUAUCUGUGGGUCUCUUGUGCUGCUGAGGAAACGAGACAGUGAGCCAAAGCCAGCUCCCUAGAGAGUUGCCAGAAAAGAUGCUUUGUCCCUGGGCUGUGAAGAUGAUUUUUCAUUUCCUGCUACUGUUGAAAAAUGAUAUCUCUGCACAGAGUUCUUGUGGCAUCUUCUCUGUUUGGUACAAUGAUCACAGCAUGAAGAAAUAAGGCAUAACUGUAAUGUAUAGACAGCUAUGUAUACUUACAGUAUACACACAUACUAGCCCUGCAGCACUCCUCUGGACAAGGGUAUGAGGUCUCUGCUGAGUAGAAGGCAAUGAAGGACAUCUGAAGGCUAAGCUGGACACGGAAUCACAUAUUCACACAGUCAUAGAAGGGUUCAGGUUGGAUGGGACCUCUGGAGAUCACUUACUCCAAUGUCUCUGCUCAGAGCAAGGUCAUCUAGAGCAGACUGCCCAGGACUGUGUCCAAUUGGGUUUUGCAUACCUACAGAAGUGGGCAGUCCUCAACAUUUCUGGGCAAUUACACCUGAUGCUGCUGCAGUGACCUGGAUUGCUGUCUGGGUUCUCCACUGUGCCAGUAAUUGGAACCAUGACUACACUGAGUGUUGUUCAAGCUUCUUGAGGUAGCAGCACUUAUGGCGUCCUCUGUUUUCUGCACUGCUCCACAAUUGGGACAGGAUCAGUCUCAUUCUUG
ensembl:lncRNA